rnacentral:rRNA from 1 species
AAGACCCCAUGGAGCUUUAAACCCAACAGCACCCGUUUAUUUUCAUCCUCACAUAAGUUAGGUUAUGCCUGUUUGGUUUUAGGUUGGGGUGACCACGGAGUAUAAAACAACCUCCAUGAAAAAAGGACCAAAAAUCCUUAUAGAGAAAGACAUUUCUAAAAUUAAUAAAUUAAUUUUUAAUGAUCCGAUAUUCGAUCAACGAACCAAGUUACCCUGGGGAUAACAGCGCAAUCCACUUCAAGAGCUCCUAUCGACAAGUGGGUUUACGACCUCGAUGUUGGAUCAGGGUAUCCUAGUGGUGCAGCAGCUACUAACGGUUCGUUUGUUCAACGAUUAAAACCCU